UCGAGAAUCUUUCACAAUGGGGGCAACCCUGAUGGAGCGACGCCGCGUGGAGGAUAAGGUCUUCGGAUUGUAAACUCCUGUCAUGCGAGAGUAAGGCCCCGCGUUAACUGCGUGAGGGAUUGACAGUAUCGCAAGAGGAAGAGACGGCUAACUCUGUGCCAGCAGCCGCGGUAAUACAGAGGUCUCAAGCGUUGUUCGGAAUUACUGGGCGUAAAGGGUGCGUAGGCUGCGCAGAAAGUCAGAUGUGAAA
rnacentral:rRNA from 1 species